AUUGAACGCUGGCGGCAGGCCUAACACAUGCAAGUCGAACGGUAACAGGAAAUAGCUUGCUGUUUCGCUGACGAGUGGCGGACGGGUGAGUAAUGUCUGGGAAACUGCCUGAUGGAGGGGGAUAACUACUGGAAACGGUAGCUAAUACCGCAUAACGUCGCAAGACCAAAGAGGGGGACCUUCGGGCCUCUUGCCAUCGGAUGUGCCCAGAUGGGAUUAGCUUGUUGGUGGGGUAACGGCUCACCAAGGCGACGAUCCCUAGCUGGUCUGAGGGGAUGACCAGCCACACUGGAACUGAGACACGGUCCAGACGCCUACGGGAGGCAGCAGUGGGGAAUAUUGCACAAUGGGCGCAAGCCUGAUGCAGCCAUGCCGCGUGUAUGAAGAAGGCCUUCGGGUUGUAAAGUACUUUCAGCGGGGAGGAAGGGAGUAAAGUUAAUACCUUUACUCAUUGACGUUACCCGCAGAAGAAGCACCGGCUAACUCCGUGCCAGCCGCCGCAGUAA
rnacentral:rRNA from 1 species